UACGGGGGGGGCAAGCGUUGUUCGGAAUUACUGGGCGUAAAGGGCUCGUAGGCGGCCAACUAAGUCAGACGUGAAAUCCCUCGGCUUAACCGGGGAACUGCGUCUGAUACUGGAUGGCUCGAGUUUGGGAGAGGGAUGCGGAAUUCCAGGUGUAGCGGUGAAAUGCGUAGAUAUCUGGAGGAACACCGGUGGCGAAGGCGGCAUCCUGGACCAACACUGACGCUGAUGCGCGAAAGCCAGGGGAGCAAACGGG
rnacentral:rRNA from 1 species